rnacentral:lncRNA from 1 species
GGGAUAGAGCACGAGCACAUCGAAAAUGGAUUUCACCGCUCUUUCUGCGCACGCGCGAGGAGCAGUGGUUGCGAGAGAGAAAUGUGGGGACUUUUGGAGCUCAAAAUUUCUCGUCGUUUAGGUACUACGGGGAAGAAAACCGUUUGCUCCGUUUGUCCCUAGCCGAGCUUGCAGCACAGAAUCGACAGGAUGCGUGGCCGGCAAGGCGAAAAAGCCGCGUCCGAGCUGUCAUCUUCUCGGAAGCAGGCACUCAUGCUUGGAGACCUGCAGAGCCCGAACUGCAGCAUGUAUGCCGAAAUAAACAGCUAUUGCCUAUUUCAAAUAGAACCAAUGUAA